AUAUAUAUAUAUAUAUAGUUCUUCGAAUUUUAUUUAUUAUUUUGUAAUUUGAAAGAGUAUGGGGAGAUGAAACCGACUAUUAUUCUUGAUUGAGAAUUGAAUUUGAUGAAGCAGGUAGGUAAAAAGAGUGGUGAUUUUGUAAUUUACUGGCGUGCAGGAGGCAGCUUUAUAUGUGGUGAAAACACGUAAUGUAGAAGAAGCUUUGAGCGUAUUCACAGAGGGUUCAGAGCCGGUGGAUAGUGUUGCACCAAAAGGAGGUUCAACAAUGCAUUUGGAUGGGGAAAUCAAUUCUAUUCGACCUCAAUUAAUAAAGCUCCCAGCUGAGCUGAGAGAUGUAGUUUCUGCUCCUUUUUAGUUUGGUUUCUCUGUAUUCUAACUUUCCAUCAAAUAACAUUUUUGUUUGGCGAAAAAGAAUAGCUAAAAUACAUAAAAUUGUAUAUAAUAAGCCAUUCAUUGUGAAAUAUUAAUGAUCUAUAAGUAAUGUACAUUGUUGUAAAGCACUUGUUAUUUAUCUGCUUGAUCGGAGUUCGAUUUUUCA